UACGAAGGGUGCAAGCGUUACUCGGAAUUACUGGGCGUAAAGCGUGCGUAGGUGGUUGUUUAAGUCUGCUGUGAAAGCCUCGGGCUCAACCUGGGAAUUGCAGUGGAUACUGGGCGACUAGAGUGUGGUAGAGGACAGUGGAAUUUCCGGUGUAGCAGUGAAAUGCGUAGAGAUCGGAAGGAACAUCUGUGGCGAAGGCGACUGUCUGGGCCAACACUGACACUGAGGCACGAAAGCGUGGGGAGCAAACAGG
rnacentral:rRNA from 1 species